UACGGAGGGUGCAAGCGUUAUCCGGAAUCAUUGGGUUUAAAGGGUCCGUAGGCGGGUGUAUAAGUCAGGGGUGAAAGUCUGCAGCUCAACUGUAGAAUUGCCUUUGAUACUGUAUACCUUGAAUUAGUAGGAAGUGGUUAGAAUAAGUAGUGUAGCGGUGAAAUGCAUAGAUAUUACUUAGAAUACCGAUUGCGAAGGCAGAUCACUACUACUAUAUUGACGCUGAUGGACGAAAGCGUGGGGAGCGAACAGG
rnacentral:misc_RNA from 1 species